UCCCUGUUGGAAGGUGGGGAGGACCAAGGCCCAGGAGUGGAGACCGUAGGCUGGGAGAAUGUGAGGCAGCUGCAGUGACCUGGAGCACAGCCGUCCCUCAACCUGCUCCGCCCGGGCUCUGGGACUCUGCCCGCUCCUCUCCGAGCUAUGCUGAGCGGGGUUGACUGGGAGAGGCAUCUGCAGAGAAUGGCAUCGCCCGUGUCGGCAGGAGCCAUGCAGGAAGUCCUGCGGUAGCGGCUCAGGUCCCUUGCGCACUGUCCCCAUCCUGGGAGGAACUUGUGGUCCAAAGGGAAAGAGAGUCUGCUACAGACGGGGUGAGGAUGGAACAGAAAGGGAACAGGGUGGGGGCUGGAACGUGUGCUCCAGGAGCCCGAGUGAGACUGGUGUGGGCUGCAGGAGAGGGCACUGGGCAGAAAUCCACACGGGGCCUUAGGCAGAGACUCCGCCCUCCCUUCUCCUGACUCGCUCCCGCUGUGUGGGAAUGGGGGCCUGCAAGGCAAGCUUGCAGAAAUGCAGAGAGAAGAAUUAAAAACAAAGGCACUGCCCAGUUAGCAUGAAAACAUGCGCAUUUUCAUGCCCUUGUGAAAUCUUUGUGCACACCAGUUUAUGACCAUGUAAGGCUCCGUUCUGCUGUAAUGCGUCCAGCCUAUUCCCCAGGUUGUUUUCCAGCCUUUGCUGUUGUAAGCGAUUCGCAGAAGACAUCCUUGCACUGAGGGCAGCACCCCCAAACCAGCCUUCUCUACAAAGAGCGUGGAAGACGCCGUCCCAGCUUCAAAACGAUUUCCUCGGGCUGCGCUAGGUGAAACAAUAAUGGAGCUCCGUGGUGACGGAACGGUCGCUUUGUUCCCGGGAGAAAACCUCUGGCAGCCGGGAACCAGCAGAGGAGAAAGCCCCGUGCCCGGGCGUCACCAGCAGGGUGCGGGAUAAAGACACCCUGUGAAGGUCAGAUUCGUGCUCUUGGUUAGGGACGGGGUUGUCUGGCGACAGUUCCCCAGCUGCUCGGAGGGCCGGCGAGAGCUGUUGGCCGCAGCUAAACAAAGGCCCCGAUAUUAACGUCUGCGUGGGUGCCGGGAAAGCUUGGUCUCUGCCAGAUGAAGGGAGACAAACGGUAAAGGCAAAGAAAGCAUUGCCGCAUCCGUGGAAAGACAAACACACGAGGGCUGGGAACUCGACACGCGUCUCGGCUUUAGAACGCAUCCGCACAGCCUGAUAGGCGGCUGCAGGAGCAAGGCUGCGACAGAACCUGGUACAGAUCUCACGUUCUGUGCAGCUCGUGAGGAAUGAGGUGUUUGCCAGGAUGCUCAGGUGGCUGGGGACAGCGGACCACCAACGCUGUGCAAGGGUGGCCGAUUCCCCUCAAUCGGGUGCCUGCUCCGAGAGCCGCAUCCUGUCCCUGGGGAGCCUGGAAUUGAUUCCGGCAUCGCCACCUCCAGCCCCUUCGCCCUGGCCAGAGUCACUGAGGAGUGCAGGAGGCCCACCGGCCAUGCUGCCAAGCCGAGCCCCGAGCUCCGGGGCCCCGCUGGGGUUGGGGCUGGAAAUUCAGCCUCCGCCUGCCCAGGGGUGCACGCCGGCAGCCCGCAGCCAGUGCCAGUGGACGGAAUCCUGCUUCAGGUAAGAGCCACCUGCCGACCUGCCGUCUCCCGGACGUGAAUUGUUCCAGUGGAGAGAUCUGGGCUACUCACGGGGCCUCACCGCAGACUCCUGUCCAUUUGCUGUAAACAUUGCCAGAAACAUGAAAAAGUCCUGGAAAAUGGAACUAAAAGAUGACGUUCACUCUCCAUCCUUUUUGAAAACCCUUUCCAUACAGCUACCAGCGUACAUUCCCUGAAAUGACGAUUAACAGCUUUAUUUUAAAAAUCAUGAAAAGAGUAAAAUUAGGAAUCAUGAGUGCAAAAUGUGGUGGCAUUAGAUAUAGUUUUCAGAAGUUCAAUUUACUACCGCUUUUUCCCAAAGCCCACAGCCUGUGCACGCCGCUGACCCAGGUGAGAAAGGGCCCUGCUCCCCUGUGGUAGAAUGCAGAGUCCAGAAAGAAAGACCUGACCCUGAGCGAGUUCUUCAGAGUGACCUCUGUGUUUGGCAGGAGGGAAAGGACCGGGAGUGGCAGGCCCCUGCCUGGGCUCAGUGUCGGAGAGGGGCUUGUCUGAGGUCUGCUUGACGGCGGCCCCUGUGUACUCACCGCCUGGAAAACAGGGCCAGCGCCAGGCAGGUGCACCGGGUCACCGCCACCAACGAAGCUUGCCGGUGACUCCUCUCACGUUUCGGGGAAGCCUCAGUGACUCUUCUCUGACCCCUCACCGGCUGAGACUGCGCAAUCACACCUGUCGGUGGCAACCCCUCUGCGGCCUGCAAAGACGCACCUUGACCGAUAGGCUGAUGUCCAUGAACACCGGCCUCCCUGUGGACCCAGUCAGUGUUUACGGAGCACCCGGCGUGGGCGAGACCCAUGGGAAGCUCUGGGGAUUUAGCGAGAGGCUGUGCUGACCCAGUUUCCGUCCCAUUCAGCAGGAGAACGGUGGGGGCCUCGGGGGUCCGGGGAGGCUUCCAGGCCAGGGGGCGGGCUCCACCGAAGCUUGAAGAACAAGCUGGCCUUACCCAGGCGAGGGGAACGAGGCCAGGCCAAGAGGACCCAGCAAGCAGGAGGGUACAAGGGCGACGGCCACAGACUCCAGAGGCUGGAGGGAACAGAACGGGAAACACGGCUCUCCCCAGGUAUCAGCUGGCCACGUGGAGGAGGGGUGAGGCCGCCCGCCGAGCCGGCUGCUUCCAGAUGGCAGAUCCAGAGUCCGGGGAGGGAGACCCCAGAGCACACACUGACUCCCGAGGGAGUGACACCAGAACUCCAAACAUCACCUGACUUCUCAGAUUUGUGGUAGCGAGCUAGAGAGCACACACAAAAUCAUCUACUGUGUAGGAGUGAAAUGGACACCUUGGGAUUUGACUACUGCCUCUGGCUCUGGUCUGUGCUCCUGCUGACCGGGGGUCUUUCUGCUCCUGACCUGUUGAAGCUUUUACUUAGCAGAGAUCAACCUGUGACUAUCAAGUUCACCCAAAAUAUAUUUGCGCAAAAAUUAAAAACCAGAAAAAGGAGGGAGGAAGUAUCAUUGUAUUCUUAGAAUUGUAUCUGUAAACUACAGGAAUCUGUUCUCUUCAUAUUAAUAAGAAGAUAAAUUAUUUUGUAGAAGAUUAAAUUACAGUGGUGGCCUCCACUUACUCGGCCCCGAGGUUAUGCUGGACGCUGUGUUAAGGGUUUUCUAUGCAUUGUCUCAUUGGAUCCCCAGAACAGCCCCGUGAGGGAAACGUUUUUGGAAAACACCCAGAGCAGCUAAAUUCUGGGGCAUGAGCUCGUCCAGCCGGGGCGGCCAGAGCUGGGGUCAGAGCUGGGGUCCCACGGCCCUGGGACGGCACAGCGGGGCCACGCUCUCAGCCCCCACCCCAGAGCGCCUCCCUGUGGGACUUGUGCUGCCGCCAAGCAGUGGGCACCUCUGGAAGUGUCCUGUCCCUGACGAUGUUGAACCCUUGGGUUGGGAUCUUGCCAGGGUCGGGCGGCAGAGGACCUGUGACCUCAAGGCCGUGUCCACGGCAGCAGAGGCAGGUGAGCCUGCAGGACGCCCCGGUGCUGCCCCUUUAAGGCUUAUUUCCACCCCUGCACCAGGGCGCCUGAGCGGAGCCCCCCGAGAGUGAAGCCCAGGGAACUGGACCGAAUUAGGGCAGCGCAGCCCUCCAAUGAGGACAUGUGUCCCCCACAAACAUCUGCUUUGGCUAAUGCUGGCCUUGGGCAGUAUUA